GACGAACGCUGGCGGCGUGCCUAAUACAUGCAAGUAGAACGCUGAAGAGAGGAGCUUGCUCUUCUUGGAUGAGUUGCGAACGGGUGAGUAACGCGUAGGUAACCUGCCUUGUAGCGGGGGAUAACUAUUGGAAACGAUAGCUAAUACCGCAUAACAAUGGAUGACCCAUGUCAUUUAUUUGAAAGGGGCAAAUGCUCCACUACAAGAUGGACCUGCGUUGUAUUAGCUAGUAGGUGAGGUAACGGCUCACCUAGGCGACGAUACAUAGCCGACCUGAGAGGGUGAUCGGCCACACUGGGACUGAGACACGGCCCAGACUCCUACGGGAGGCAGCAGUAGGGAAUCUUCGGCAAUGGGGGCAACCCUGACCGAGCAACGCCGCGGGAGUGAAGAAGGGUGUCGGAUCGUAAAGCUCUGUUGUAAGUCAAGAACGAGUGUGAGAGUGGAAAGUUCACACUGUGACGGUAGCUUACCAGAAAGGGACGGCUAACUACGUG
rnacentral:rRNA from 1 species